UGCCAGCAGCCGCGGUAAUACGGAGGGUGCGAGCGUUAAUCGGAAUUACUGGGCGUAAAGCGCACGCAGGCGGAUUGUUAAGCUAGAGGUGAAAGCCCCGCGCUCAACGUGGGAAUGGCCUUUAGAACUGGCAGUCUAGAGUCUUGGAGAGGGGAGUGGAAUUCCAGGUGUAGCGGUGAAAUGCGUAGAGAUCUGGAGGAACAUCAGUGGCGAAGGCGACUCCCUGGCCAAAGACUGACGCUGAGGAGCGAAAGCGUGGGGAGCAAACGGGAUUAGAUA
rnacentral:rRNA from 1 species